GGGGCCGUAGCUCAGUAGGGAGAGCGAUUGGUUUGCAACCAAUAGGUCGUGGGUUCGAUCCCCUCCGGCUCCACCA
rnacentral:tRNA from 1 species